rnacentral:rRNA from 1 species
GAUGAACGCUAGCUACAGGCUUAACACAUGCAAGUCGAGGGGAAACGAUAGAGAAAGCUUGCUUUUUCUAGGCGUCGACCGGCGCACGGGUGAGUAACGCGUAUCCAACCUGCCCAUCACUUGGGGAUAACCUUGCGAAAGUAAGACUAAUACCCAAUGAUAUCUCUAGAAGACAUCUGAAGGAGAUUAAAGAUUUAUCGGUGAUGGAUGGGGAUGCGUCUGAUUAGCUUGUUGGCGGGGUAACGGCCCACCAAGGCGACGAUCAGUAGGGGUUCUGAGAGGAAGGUCCCCCACAUUGGAACUGAGACACGGUCCAAACUCCUACGGGAGGCAGCAGUGAGGAAUAUUGGUCAAUGGACGAGAGUCUGAACCAGCCAAGUAGCGUGCAGGAUGACGGCCCUAUGGGUUGUAAACUGCUUUUAUAAGGGAAUAAAGUGAGUCUCGUGAGACUUUUUGCAUGUACCUUAUGAAUAAGGACCGGCUAAUUCCGUGCCAGCAGCCGCGGUAAUACGGAAGGUCCGGGCGUUAUCCGGAUUUAUUGGGUUUAAAGGGAGCGUAGGCCGGAGAUUAAGCGCGUUGUGAAAUGUAGACGCUCAACGUCUGCACUGCAGCGCGAACUGGUUUCCUUGAGUACGCACAAAGUGGGCGGAAUUCGUGGUGUAGCGGUGAAAUGCUUAGAUAUCACGAAGAACUCCGAUUGCGAAGGCAGCUCACUGGAGCGCAACUGACGCUGAAGCUCGAAAGUGCGGGUAUCGAACAGGAUUAGAUACCCUGGUAGUCCGCACGGUAAACGAUGGAUGCCCGCUGUUGGUCUGAAUAGGUCAGCGGCCAAGCGAAAGCAUUAAGCAUCCCACCUGGGGAGUACGCCGGCAACGGUGAAACUCAAAGGAAUUGACGGAAGG